rnacentral:rRNA from 1 species
CCUACGGGAGGCUGCAGUGGGGAAUAUUGGACAAUGGGGGCAACCCUGAUCCAGCCAUGCCGCGUGUGUGAAGAAGGCCCUCGGGUUGGAAAGCACUUUCAGUGAGGAAGAACGCCUGGUGGUUAAUACCCAUCAGGAAAGACAUCACUCACAGAAGAAGCACCGGCUAACUCCGUGCCAGCAGCCGCGGUAAUACGGAGGGUGCGAGCGUUAAUCGGAAUUACUGGGCGUAAAGCGCGCGUAGGUGGCUUGAUAAGCCGGUUGUGAAAGCCCCGGGCUCAACCUGGGAACGGCAUCCGGAACUGUCAAGCUAGAGUGCAGGAGAGGAAGGUAGAAUUCCCGGUGUAGCGGUGAAAUGCGUAGAGAUCGGGAGGAAUACCAGUGGCGAAGGCGGCCUUCUGGACUGACACUGACACUGAGGUGCGAAAGCGUGGGUAGCAAACAGGAUUAGAUACCCUUGUAGUC